CGCCCCGUAGCUCAGUCCGGUAGAGCAUCGCGGAUUCCUCGCCGUUCCCUUGUCCGCUCACAAGGCGGGCCGAUGCGUGAGGAUUAACGGGACGCGAGGGUCGCGGGUUCAAAUCCCGCCGGGGCAC
rnacentral:tRNA from 1 species